rnacentral:rRNA from 1 species
UACGAAGGGGGCUAGCGUUGUUCGGAAUUACUGGGCGUAAAGCGCGCGCAGGCGGGUCAUCAAGUCAGGGGUGAAAGCCCAGAGCUCAACUCUGGAACUGCCCUUGAAACUGGUGACCUUGAGUACGGGAGAGGUGAGUGGAAUUCCCAGUGUAGAGGUGAAAUUCGUAGAUAUUGGGAAGAACACCGGUGGCGAAGGCGGCCCACUGGAUCGGUACUGACGCUGAGGUGCGAAAGCGUGGGGAGCAAACAGG